rnacentral:rRNA from 1 species
UACGUAGGGUGCGAGCGUUGCCCGGAUUUAUUGGGCGUAAAGGGCGCGUAGGCGGUGCCGUACGUCCGUUGUGAAAUCGCUCGGCUCAACUGGGCGGGGUCAGCGGAUACGGUGGCACUUGAGCAAGCUAGGGGGCAAUGGAAUUCCCGGUGUAGUGGUGAAAUGCGUAGAUAUCGGGAGGAACACCUGUGGCGAAAGCGGCUCACUGGACCACAACUGACGCUGAGGCGCGAAAGCUAGGGGAGCAAACAGG